rnacentral:rRNA from 1 species
AAGUUUCAACAACGGAUCUCUUGGCUCUCGCAUCGAUGAAGAACGCAGCGAAAUGCGAUAAGUAAUGUGAAUUGCAGAAUUCAGUGAAUCAUCGAAUCUUUGAACGCACCUUGCGUUCCUUGGUAUUCCUUGGAGCAUGCCUGUUUGAGUAUCAU